CUCCACGUCCAUACCAGGAUGAAAGCACCCGUUCUCGUCAGAUCACGGAAGUUAAGCAUCGUCGGGCCGGGAUAAUCACUUGUCAAGUUGUCGAAC
rnacentral:rRNA from 1 species